rnacentral:hammerhead_ribozyme from 1 species
AUCCAGCUGAUGAGUCCAAAAUAGGACGAAACGCACGUCAAGCUAGAU